CUUUCCCUCUGGCGGCAGGCCUAACACAUGCAAGUCGAGCGGAUGAAGGGAGCUUGCUCCUGGAUUCAGCGGCGGACGGGUGAGUAAUGCCUAGGAAUCUGCCUGGUAGUGGGGGAUAACGUCCGGAAACGGGCGCUAAUACCGCAUACGUCCUGAGGGAGAAAGUGGGGGAUCUUCGGACCUCACGCUAUCAGAUGAGCCUAGGUCGGAUUAGCUAGUUGGUGGGGUAAAGGCCUACCAAGGCGCCGAUCCGUAACUGGUCUGAGAGGAUGAUCAGUCACACUGGAACUGAGACACGGUCCAGACUCCUACGGGAGGCAGCAGUGGGGAAUAUUGGACAAUGGGCGAAAGCCUGAUCCAGCCAUGCCGCGUGUGUGAAGAAGGUCUUCGGAUUGUAAAGCACUUUAAGUUGGGAGGAAGGGCAGUAAGUUAAUACCUUGCUGUUUUGACGUUACCAACAGAAUAAGCACCGGCUAACUUCGUG
rnacentral:rRNA from 1 species